rnacentral:rRNA from 1 species
UACGUAGGGGGCGAGCGUUGUCCGGAAUUAUUGGGCGUAAAGAGCUCGUAGGCGGCUUGGCAAGUCGGAUGUGAAAACUCCAGGCUCAACCUGGAGCCGCCAUUCGAUACUGCUAUGGCUAGAGUCCGGUAGGGGAGUGUGGAAUUCCCGGUGUAGCGGUGAAAUGCGCAGAUAUCGGGAGGAACACCAAUGGCGAAGGCAGCUCGCUGGGACGGUACUGACGCUGAGACGCGAAAGCGUGGGGAGCAACAGGG